GCAGAAAAGCUAGCCUAACAAUAAAAAUAGAUGUCAAACAUAAAAGACGACCCCCUCCCCCAACAAAUAAAACAUUUUUCCGCCUCAGUAUAGGUGAUAGAACAGGAUCAUAGAGCAAUAGAAAAAGUACCGCAAGGGAAAGCUGAAAGAGAAAUGAAACAAUCCAGUCAAGCGAGAAAAAGCAGAGGCCAAUACUCGUACCUUUUGCAUCAUGGUUUAGCAAGAAAGCCCGAGCAAAGAGAACUAUAGUUCGGCCCCCCGAAACCAGGAGAGCUACCCCAAAGCAGCCCACCGGGGCCAACCCGUCUCUGUAGCAAAAGAGUGGGAAGACAUUCGGGUAGAGGUGAUAGACCUACCGAGCCUGGUUAUAGCUGGUUGCUUAGGAAAUGAAUAUUAGUUCAGCCCAGUGUCUUCCAGAAACUAUUCCGCGCAAAGCGCUAGUGAGGCACAGGAGUUAGUCAAAGGGGGUACAGCCCCUUUGAAAAAGGACACAACCUUGCUGAAGGAGGAAAAGGAUCAUAAACACAAGGGACCGCUCCUCAGUGGGCCUAAAAGCAGCCACCUGAAAAGAUAGCGUUAAAGCUCAAGCAAAACCAAACCUUAACAAUAAGGACAAUAACAUCCCAACCCCCUUAACAAUACUAAGCCCCCCCAUAAAAAUAGGGAAGAUAAUGCUAGAAUUAGUAAUAAGAGGGAAAGACCCUCUCCCGGCACAGUCGUAAGUCAGGCAGGACUGCCCACUGACAAGUAACGGACCCAGAAUGAAGGAAGCGCAACACAAACAAGAAAAACAAGCCCGCCCUGCCCUAACCCCCGUUACCCCGACACAGGAGUGCCCCCGGGAAAGACUAAAAGGAAGAGAAGGAACUCGGCAAACCCAAACCUCGCCUGUUUACCAAAAACAUCGCCUCUCGCUAACAAUGAAGUAUUAGAGGUCCCGCCUGCCCUGUGACGUAAGUGUUUAACGGCCGCGGUAUUUUAACCGCGCGAAGGUAGCGUAAUCACCUGUCUUUUAAAUGGAGACCUGUAUGAAUGGCAUAACGAAGGUUUAACUGUCUCCUCUCCCCGGUCAGUGAAAUUGAUCUGCCCGUGCAGAAGCGGGCCCAACAACAUAAGACGAGAAGACCCUAUGGAGCUUUAGGCAUACACCCAAGCGCCCCAAGCCCCUCCAAUACGAUAUGCAAUGAGCGUGGAAAGCGAGCGCCCCUGGGUGAGUGAGCCUUCGGUUGGGGCGACCGUGGAGGAAAAAAAAGCCUCCAAGAAGAAUAAGGAAGACCCUUAAGCCAAGAAAGACAUCUCUAAGCAACAGAAACUCUGACUACGUGUGACCCAGUAACUAACUGAUCAACGAACCAAGUUACCCUAGGGAUAACAGCGCAAUCCUUUCCCAGAGUCCAUAUCGACGAAAGGGCUUACGACCUCGAUGUUGGAUCAGGGCAUCCUAAUGGUGCAGCAGCUAUUAAGGGUUCGUUUGUUCAACGAUUAACAGCCCUACGUGAUCUGAGUUCAGACCGGAGUAAUCCAGGUCGGUUUCUAUCUAUGAGUUGACCUAUUUCUAGUACGAAAGGACCGAGAUAGGAGGGCCAAGGCUACAACGGCAAGCCCUAUCCCAACCCACUGAUACCAUAUGAAAUGGGCAAUUGGAAAAAAACGACCACCGAAAAUAACGGUAC
rnacentral:rRNA from 1 species